rnacentral:rRNA from 1 species
UGAGUAACCUGCCCUGGACUUUGGGAUAACCCUCGGAAACGGGGGCUAAUACCGGAUAUGACAUGCUCUCGCAUGGGGGUGUGUGGAAAGUUUUUCGGUCUGGGAUGGGCUCGCGGCCUAUCAGCUUGUUGGUGGGGUGAUGGCCUACCAAGGCGACGACGGGUAGCCGGCCUGAGAGGGCGACCGGCCACACUGGGACUGAGACACGGCCCAGACUCCUACGGGAGGCA